GUGCUCGCUUCGGCAGCACAUGUACUAAAAUUGGAACGAUUACAGAGAAGAUUAGCACAGCCCCUGCACAGGGAUGCCACGCAAAUGGAUGAAGUGUUAGUAUAUUUC